UACAGAGGGUGCGAGCGUUAAUCGGAAUUACUGGGCGUAAAGCGCGCGUAGGCGGCUUUGCAAGUCGGGUGUGAAAUCCCCGGGCUUAACCUGGGAACUGCAGUCGAGACUGCUUUGCUUGAGUAUGGGAGAGGGAGGUGGAAUUUCCGGUGUAGCGGUGAAAUGCGUAGAUAUCGGAAGGAGCAUCAGUGGCGAAGGCGACCUCCUGGACCAAUACUGACACUCAAGUGCGAAAGCGUGGGGAGCAAACAGG
rnacentral:rRNA from 1 species